CCUACGGGAGGCAGCAGUGAGGAAUAUUGGUCAAUGGACGAAAGUCUGAACCAGCCAAGUAGCGUGAAGGAUGACUGCCCUAUGGGUUGUAAACCUCUUUUAUAUGGGGAUAAAACGUUCCACGUGUGGGAUUUUGUAUGUACCAUAUGAAUAAGGAUCGGCUAACUCCGUGCCAGCAGCCGCGGUAAUACGGAGGGUCCGAGCGUUAUCCGGAUUUAUUGGGUUUAAAGGGAGCGUAGGUGGGUUGUUAAGUCAGUUGUGAAAGUUUGCGGCUCAACCGUGAAAUUGCAGUUGAAACUGGCAGUCUUGAGUACAGGAGAGGUGGGCGGAAUUCGUGGUGUAGCGGUGAAAUGCUUAGAUAUCACGAAGAACUCCGAUUGCGAAGGCAGUUCACUGGACUGCAACUGACACUGAGGCUCGAAAGUGUGGGUAUCGAACAGGAUUAGAUACCCGAGUAGUC
rnacentral:rRNA from 1 species